AGAGAGAGACAUGCGCGCAUAUCAAUAAGCGGAGGAAAAGAAACUAACAUAGGAUUCCCCUCAGUAACGGCGAGUGAAGCGGGAAGAGCUCAAAUUUGAAAUCUUCAAGGGUUCUACCUUUACGAAUUGUAGUUUAAAGAAGUGUUUUCUGUUGAAGUUUUGGUAAAAGUUCUUUGGAAUAGGACAUCAUAGAGGGUGAGAAUCCCGUAUUUGACCAUUAUUUCCAGCUUUGUGAUACACUUUCAAAGAGUCGGAUUGUUUGGGAAUGCAGUCCAAAAUGGGUGGUAAAUUUCAUCUAAAGCUAAAUAUUGGCGAGAGACCGAUAGCGAACAAGUACCGUGAGGGAAAGAUGAAAAGAACUUUGAAAAGAGAGUUAAACAGUACGUGAAAUUGUCAAAAGGGAAACGUUUGACACCAGUGUUGUUUUCUCGAAAAUCAAUUAAAAAAGGCAGGAUUUUGUGUUGUAUUGACUUUAUCAGCUUUCUGCACUCUUUUCUUGUCUUUUUUAAUGCACUUUUCGUUUAACAAGUCAACAUCAAUUUCUUUUGUUGUAAAAGGGUCAUUGGAAGGUGGCUUUCUUUUCGGAGAAAGUGUUUAUAGCCUUUGGCCUCUGCAAUCGGAGAGAUUGAGGUCUGCAGCGUAGAUCCUUCGGGGUUAGAUACAUUUGUGCUAAGUUAUAGCCUUUCAUAGACAACUUGUUGACUAUGAUCAGUCAUGUAGCUUACUCGCUUAUGCUAUUUUACCUACGCUUAGGAUGUUGAUGUGAUACUGCGAGCA
rnacentral:rRNA from 1 species